UGCAUAUCAAUAAGCGCGGAGGAAAAGAAACCAACAGGGAUUGCCUCAGUAGCGGCGAGUGAAGCGGCAAGAGCUCAGAUUUGAAGUCGUGCUUUGCGGCACGAGUUGUAGAUUGCAGGUUGGAGUCUGUGUGGAAGGCGGUGUCCAAGUCCCUUGGAACAGGGCGCCCAGGAGGGUGAGAGCCCCGUGGGAUGCCGGCGGAAGCAGUGAGGCCCUUCUGACGAGUCGAGUUGUUUGGGAAUA
rnacentral:rRNA from 1 species